CAUAGGUUAAUGAGGCGAACCGGGGGAACUGAAACAUCUAAGUACCCCGAGGAAAAGAAAUCAACCGAGAUUCCCCCAGUAGCGGCGAGCGAACGGGGAGCAGCCCAGAGCCUGAAUCAGUGUGUGUGUUAGUGGAAGCGUCUGGAAAGGCGCGCGAUACAGGGUGACAGCCCCGUACACAAAAAUGCACAUACUGUGAGCUCGAUGAGUAGGGCGGGACACGUGGUAUCCUGUCUGAAUAUGGGGGGACCAUCCUCCAAGGCUAAAUACUCCUGACUGACCGAUAGUGAACCAGUACCGUGAGGGAAAGGCGAAAAGAACCCCGGCGAGGGGAGUGAAAAAGAACCUGAAACCGUGUACGUACAAGCAGUGGGAGCCUCUUUAUGGGGUGACUGCGUACCUUUUGUAUAAUGGGUCAGCGACUUAUAUUCUGUAGCAAGGUUAACCGAAUAGGGGAGCCGAAGGGAAACCGAGUCUUAACUGGGCGUUAAGUUGCAGGGUAUAGACCCGAAACCCGGUGAUCUAGCCAUGGGCAGGUUGAAGGUUGGGUAACACUAACUGGAGGACCGAACCGACUAAUGUUGAAAAAUUAGCGGAUGACUUGUGGCUGGGGGUGAAAGGCCAAUCAAACCGGGAGAUAGCUGGUUCUCCCCGAAAGCUAUUUAGGUAGCGCCUCGUGAAUUCAUCUCCGGGGGUAGAGCACUGUUUCGGCAAGGGGGUCAUCCCGACUUACCAACCCGAUGCAAACUGCGAAUACCGGAGAAUGUUAUCACGGGAGACACACGGCGGGUGCUAACGUCCGUCGUGAAGAGGGAAACAACCCAGACCGCCAGCUAAGGUCCCAAAGUCAUGGUUAAGUGGGAAACGAUGUGGGAAGGCCCAGACAGCCAGGAUGUUGGCUUAGAAGCAGCCAUCAUUUAAAGAAAGCGUAAUAGCUCACUGGUCGAGUCGGCCUGCGCGGAAGAUGUAACGGGGCUAAACCAUGCACCGAAGCUGCGGCAGCGACACUAUGUGUUGUUGGGUAGGGGAGCGUUCUGUAAGCCUGUGAAGGUGUGCUGUGAGGUAUGCUGGAGGUAUCAGAAGUGCGAAUGCUGACAUAAGUAACGAUAAAGCGGGUGAAAAGCCCGCUCGCCGGAAGACCAAGGGUUCCUGUCCAACGUUAAUCGGGGCAGGGUGAGUCGACCCCUAAGGCGAGGCCGAAAGGCGUAGUCGAUGGGAAACAGGUUAAUAUUCCUGUACUUGGUGUUACUGCGAAGGGGGGACGGAGAAGGCUAUGUUGGCCGGGCGACGGUUGUCCCGGUUUAAGCGUGUAGGCUGGUUUUCCAGGCAAAUCCGGAAAAUCAAGGCUGAGGCGUGAUGACGAGGCACUACGGUGCUGAAGCAACAAAUGCCCUGCUUCCAGGAAAAGCCUCUAAGCAUCAGGUAACAUCAAAUCGUACCCCAAACCGACACAGGUGGUCAGGUAGAGAAUACCAAGGCGCUUGAGAGAACUCGGGUGAAGGAACUAGGCAAAAUGGUGCCGUAACUUCGGGAGAAGGCACGCUGAUAUGUAGGUGAAGUCCCUUGCGGAUGGAGCUGAAAUCAGUCGAAGAUACCAGCUGGCUGCAACUGUUUAUUAAAAACACAGCACUGUGCAAACACGAAAGUGGACGUAUACGGUGUGACGCCUGCCCGGUGCCGGAAGGUUAAUUGAUGGGGUUAGCGGUAACGCGAAGCUCUUGAUCGAAGCCCCGGUAAACGGCGGCCGUAACUAUAACGGUCCUAAGGUAGCGAAAUUCCUUGUCGGGUAAGUUCCGACCUGCACGAAUGGCGUAAUGAUGGCCAGGCUGUCUCCACCCGAGACUCAGUGAAAUUGAACUCGCUGUGAAGAUGCAGUGUACCCGCGGCAAGACGGAAAGACCCCGUGAACCUUUACUAUAGCUUGACACUGAACAUUGAGCCUUGAUGUGUAGGAUAGGUGGGAGGCUUUGAAGUGUGGACGCCAGUCUGCAUGGAGCCGACCUUGAAAUACCACCCUUUAAUGUUUGAUGUUCUAACGUUGGCCCCUGAUCGGGGUUGCGGACAGUGUCUGGUGGGUAGUUUGACUGGGGCGGUCUCCUCCUAAAGAGUAACGGAGGAGCACGAAGGUUGGCUAAUCCUGGUCGGACAUCAGGAGGUUAGUGCAAUGGCAUAAGCCAGCUUGACUGCGAGCGUGACGGCGCGAGCAGGUGCGAAAGCAGGUCAUAGUGAUCCGGUGGUUCUGAAUGGAAGGGCCAUCGCUCAACGGAUAAAAGGUACUCCGGGGAUAACAGGCUGAUACCGCCCAAGAGUUCAUAUCGACGGCGGUGUUUGGCACCUCGAUGUCGGCUCAUCACAUCCUGGGGCUGAAGUAGGUCCCAAGGGUAUGGCUGUUCGCCAUUUAAAGUGGUACGCGAGCUGGGUUUAGAACGUCGUGAGACAGUUCGGUCCCUAUCUGCCGUGGGCGCUGGAGAACUGAGGGGGGCUGCUCCUAGUACGAGAGGACCGGAGUGGACGCAUCACUGGUGUUCGGGUUGUCAUGCCAAUGGCACUGCCCGGUAGCUAAAUGCGGAAGAGAUAAGUGCUGAAAGCAUCUAAGCACGAAACUUGCC
rnacentral:rRNA from 1 species